rnacentral:SRP_RNA from 2 species
GCCAGGUGUGGUGGCUCACGUCUGUAAUCCCAGCACUUUGGGAGGCUGAGGUGGGUGGAUCACCUGAGGUCAGGAGUUCAAGACCAGCCUGGCCAACAUGGUGAAACCCCACCUCUA